CCCAGACGUCAGCAGCCGAAAGAAGAAGAAGAAGAGGAAGAAGAUCAGGCUAACACGAGCGUACUUCAUUAGGACUUCAUCGGUUCAUAACCUUUGGUUGUCGUGAUUCGGAAAUAACAUUGGACCACCAGAGUCAGGGGCAUUCAGUUUAGAGAAUUAUUCACCCACUUGGAUGAAUUGGGCUUGAAGCGGAGAGCCACAGCCAGAGGCGGGGGACAACUGAAGAUUUCGCGACCCCUCCUUUUUGCCAAAAUGCAAUGGGGAAGGGAAAUUUGGCUCCCCCUGGAUGCUGCGCCCGGGGACAGAUGUCCCCCCUUGAAAAGCUACUCCACUGGCCACAGCUAACUGGGCGUUAUAGUAAGGAAGCGAAAUCUGUGCCUCAAAAGUUCACUUUUAUGUGAGUGCGGGUGGAACAGAAGCGAUCGUCUGCGGUUAUCUACAGCGGCAAACGCUCACAUUUUCUCUACACGGGUCUCUUUUUCCAAAAUCUGUCACGAAAUUGUUAAUAAAAUAAACACAUGGAGCUCCAGUAAAGAUUUUUCUUUUGAUUUGAUUUGUGAAUGAGGAUCUACACUCUCUUUUAAAAUGCUGGUUCUUUGACGG